rnacentral:rRNA from 1 species
UACAGAGGGGGCAAGCAUUGUUCGGAAUUACUGGGCGUAAAGGGCGCGUAGGCGGCCUGUUAAGUCGAACGUGAAAUCCCCGGGCUCAACCCGGGAACUGCGUCCGAUACUGGCAGGCUUGAAUCCGGGAGAGGGAUGCGGAAUUCCAGGUGUAGCGGUGAAAUGCGUAGAUAUCUGGAGGAACACCGGUGGCGAAGGCAGCCCCCUGGGUCAAGAUUGACGCUCAUGCACGAAAAGCGUGGGGGAGCAAACAGG